UACAGAGGUCUCAAGCGUUGUUCGGAUUCAUUGGGCGUAAAGGGUGCGUAGGCGGCGCGGUAAGUCGGGUGUGAAAUCUUGGAGCUUAACUCCGAAACUGCAUUCGAUACUGCCGUGCUUGAGGACUGGAGAGGAGACUGGAAUUUACGGUGUAAGCGGUGAAAUGCGUAGAUAUCGUAAGGAAGACCAGUGGCGAAGGCGGGUCUCUGGACAGUUCCUGACGUGAGGCACGAAGGCCAGGGGAGGCAAACGGGAUU
rnacentral:rRNA from 1 species